UGCAUGGAAUAAUAGAAUAGGACGCGCGUUCCCAUUUUGUUGGUUUCUGAGAUCGCCGUAAUGAUUAAUAGGGAUAGUUGGGGGCAUUUGUAUUCCGUCGUCAGAGGUGAAAUUCUUGGAUUGCCGGAAGACAAACUACUGCGAAAGCAUUUGCCAAGGAUGUUUUCAUUGAUCAAGAACGAAGGAAGGGGGAUCGAAAACGAUUAGAUACCGUUGUAGUCUCUUCUGUAAACUAUGCCAAUUGGGGAUCGGUACAGGAUUUUUAAUGACUGUAUCGGCACCCGAAGAGAAAUCUUUAAAUGAGGUUCGGGGGGGAGUAUGGUCGCAAGGCUGAAACUUAAAGGAAUUGACGGAAGGGCACCACCAGGUGUGGAGCCUGCGGCUUAAUUUGACUCAACACGGGGAAACCCACCAGGUCCAGACACAAUAAGGAUUGACAGAUUGAUAGCUCUUUCUUGAUCUUGUGGUUGGUGGUGCAUGGCCGUUCUUAGUUGGUGGAGUGAUUUGUCUGGUUAAUUCCGAUAACGAACGAGACCUUAACCUGCUAAAUAGACCAGCCGGCUUUGGCUAGCUGCUGUCUUCUUAGAGGGACUAUCAGCGUUUAGCUGAUGGAAGUUUGAGGCAAUAACAGGUCUGUGAUGCCCUUAGAUGUUCUGGGCCGCACGCGCGCUACACUGACAGAGCCAGCGAGUCUACCACCUUUGCCGGAAGGCAUGGGUAAUCUUGUGAAACUCUGUCGUGAUGGGGAUAGGGCAUUGCAAUA
rnacentral:rRNA from 1 species